rnacentral:rRNA from 1 species
AUUGAACGCUGGCGGCAGGCCUAACACAUGCAAGUCGCACGAGUGGCGGACGGGGGAGUAAUGCCUGGGAAACUGCCCGAUGGCGGGGGAUAACUACUGGAAACGGUAGCUAAUACCGCAUACCAUCGGAUGUGCCCAGAUGGGAUUAGCUAGUAGGUGGGUGAACGGCUCACCUAGGCGACGAUCCCUAGCUGGUCUGAGAGGAUGACCCGCCACACUGGAACUGAGACACGGUCCAGACGCCUACGGGAUGCAGCAGUGGGGAGUAUUGCACAAUGGGCGCAAGCCUGAUGCAGCAAUGCCGCGUGUAUGAAGAAGGCCUUCGAGUUGUAAAGUACUUUCAGCGGGGAGGCGUUACUCGCAGAAGAAGCACCGGCUAACUCCGUGCCAGCAGCCGCGGUAAUAC